rnacentral:rRNA from 1 species
CAUGUGGUUAAUUUCGAAGCAACGCGAGACUUACCAGCCUUGACAUGCAGAGAACUUUCCAGAGAUGGAUUGGUGCCUUCGGGAACUCUGACACAGGUGCUGCAUGGCUGUCGUCAGCUCGUGUCGUGAGAUGUUGGGUUAAGUCCCGUAACGAGCGCAACCCUUGCCUUUAGUUGCCAGCAGUUCGGCUGGGCACUCUAAAGGGACUGCCGGUGUUAAACCGGAGGAAGGUGGGGAUGACGUCAAGUCCUCAUGGCCUUUAUGACCAGGGCUACACACGUACUACAAUGGCCGAUACAAAGGGCAGCGACACUGCGAGGUGAAGCCAAUCCCGUAAAAUCGGUCUCAGUCCGGAUUGGAGUCUGCAACUCGACUCCAUGAAGUUGGAAUCGCUAGUAAUCGUGGAUCAGCAUGCCACGGUGAAUACGUUCCCGGGCCUU